UAGUCCCUUAUAAAUACAUCGUCUGCCGACAACAUUCCCCGUAUUUCGAUGAAAUCAAGGAACAUGAAAAUGAAAAACCUCGUACAAGUAUGUUAGUUGUGUCGGAGUUUAUCGGGUGUUCCCCGUCUCUAAGUGGGGCAAUCCGGGUCAACCCGUGGGACAUCGAAUCAGUCGCGGGAGCUAUAACUUCCGCCAUAACAAUGAAAGAACCCGAAAAGCAAUUAAGACACGAAAAACAUUAUCGUUACGUCAGCUCACAUGACGUGUCAUAUUGGGGUCGUAGUUUCAUGCAAGAUCUAGAAAGAGCUUCGAAAGAUCAUUAUAACAAACGGUGUUGGGGAAUCGGGUUUGGACUCGGGUUUCGGGUCGUUUCUCUUUCUCCUAGU
rnacentral:lncRNA from 1 species